CUACCGGCAUCGCGAGGUGUCGGGAUGCGGGUGAGGAAGUCAGCCGAGGCCAUAGUAGGUGCCGGGACGGACCGAAGGGC
rfam:Azoarcus sp. KH32C plasmid pAZKH DNA, complete genome.